AUGCCGACAGAAGAAGAAUAUCAACAGGAAACGCAGACUCUCAUCCAGCACUCCUGCUUAAGUGGGCUGGAAAACCCUCACGUGGAAAUUCAGGGUUGUUUGCAGGAGUGCAUCCUUCUGACUUCACAUCCAUCUCCAAAAGUGUUUCUGUUGGCUUCGAGACCACGUGUGCUUUCCAGCUCAUCUGGGUUGUGUCUUUCACCUGAAAGCCCAUCCACUCCUGAGCGGCUUCCACAGCUAUCACAAGCGAGUUCGGGUUCGGCUUGGAAAAGGAUAGCAGAUGGGAAAAUGGAGAAAUGUGGUGAAUUGCCAACAGCAGAGCCAGAAAUAGAACCCAGAUGUCCCGGUCUUGUGUCGAAGCUCCCCGCUCUCUCCAGGAGGGCAAUGAGCCGGCUGCGGUUCCAGGGGAACUUCCUCCCGGUAACGGCAGGACCCUGACGGGCACCGCGAAUCCCCCAGCCCACUGACGGGCCGCGAUGCUCUGGAGCCACAUCCAUCCAUCGGCACAGCCCAGCGUGGGGACACGGCAGUGGCAGAGCAGCCCAGGGGGUCCCAGCCGGCUCUGUCCCCUGUGUGGCUGUGCCACCUCGUCCCGCGGAGCAGGCGGGUGGGCUCCGUGCGCUGUUUCCACCUCGCUGCGCGUACGGCACAGGUCAGCUCGCGCCUGGCUUCGCGCGGCGGCGGGGAGCUGCCGGCGCCUGUGUGUCGCUGCCUGCAGGCCUAGCCGAGCCGAGGCAGUGUCUGGCUCCCCAGCCACAAUCUCUCGUUAGAAAGAAAUUAAAAGCCACUCAAUUUUGGCUAAUAUCCCUCUGUAGGCCUUUAACUCCACCUGUGACUAACCCAUUCAUAAUAGCUCUGUUUUAGUGGCUCGGGUUGAUGUAUCCGCGAUUAAUUUGGGAGGAGAGUGGCAGGGCCAUAUCUCUUUGUCUCCCCCCUCUCGCUCCCUGUCCUGCAGUCUGUCUGCUCCCGCUAUUUCAUCUCUGCUGUCAUUUCUCCAUUCAUUCACUCUCACCUCUCAUUCAUUCACCCCGCUCACUUUUUGGCGUUUUCUUCCCAAACUCCUCUUUGCCUGUCUUUCCCUUUGUUCUCCUUGUGUUCUUUAACCUUCCUCCUCCAUCGCUUUCCUCCUCCUAUUUUUUAUUUUGGCUGUUAUUGCUUCCUUUCCUUUUUUUUUUUUUUUUUCUCCACCUUUCCCUUCCCUUCUUGUCCCUCUUCUCCCUCAUUUGAACCCCUCUUUGGUCCUCUCCCCCACCCCUCCUCUCCCCCAGCUCCCGCCUCUGCCUCCCUCCCCAGGUUUCUGAUGCUCGCACAAUUUCUCUCCCUCUUUGUUUCAGGCGCCCCCACCCCGCUCCCCACUCUCGAUUAUUAUUAAUGAUAAAGGCUAAAACAUCACAUCAGUAAUUUCUGAGUGAGUUUUGCAAUGAAGCUGGGGCCUUAUCAGCCCCUCCCGAGUGCCACAAAUUUUACUUUUGCAAUUUCACGCCUUUGGUUAUUAUCACGCUGCUUCGUCCCUGCUCUGCCUCACGCUUUCCCUCCCCCCCUCCUCUGGAGAGAGUACUUAAACUUGUUUUCAUUCCCUUAUUCUUUAUUUUUUUAAUGUC
rnacentral:lncRNA from 1 species